GAACUUAACAGUAAAGAAAAUACGGCAGUCAAGAGAAAGAAUAGAGAGAUUGCAAGCAAGAAAUUUGUUGCGAAAUGAGCAACAAAGAAAGUUAAAAAGGAAUCAUAGACAAAGCUGGAUUAAGCCAUGGUUGCAUGCCUAUCGUCAUAUUCGAGCAUACCCAGAAGCUAAUCGACAUCUAAUAUUUCAGAAGUAUAUACCGUUAGAGAAAUUACCAAGAGCACUUGCGGAAAAUUUGGUCAAUAGGCCAGGGUUUCUUCUGAGACCAUUAACUAGGAAUGGGGGAAUCACAGAAGAGUUGGAUACUCCAUUGGGUACGUUUCUAAUAGCGGAAACUGCCGAUUUUGUCAAAACUGGUUCCAUAGAGUGGCAUAAAUUAUUGGUCAAUAAGGGCCAAUUCAGUGUGUUUCAAAAUCCGUCAUUUUCACCUCCUAUUCAAUCAAUAAACUUAUUCAAGGAUAAUAAUAGCAAAUAAAGCAGGGUGGAAAGUUUAGAAAAUAUAUUUGGAAGAGACGGAGAUUAUAUUAAUAAAUGAUUAAGUGUCACAUUGUCAAAUUCAAUGACGACGGGAGGUCCAGCGGUUCCCAUAGCAGUACAAAUGGGUACUGUGAGUGAUCGCACAACUAGCGUGGCUCCAUUACCUACCUUUAGGGGCUUUUCGGGUGCGGAUCCAGAUCAACAUUUAUCGCAGUUUUUGACAACAUGUGUCGCCAAUAAUGGGAGAACCGAAGAUAUUUGGUUACGAUGGUUGCCAGCAACCUUAAAGGAUAUGGCGUUUGAAUGGUAUAACCGUCAACCAGUUGGUCAAUUUUUGAACUAGGAAGCAUUGAAGAAUGCAUUUUUGACCCAUUUUCGACCAAUUGGUUUUGAAGAUCGUCUUCGAGGAAGGUUAAUGAACAGCAAAAUGAUCCUAGGAAAGGCGGUGGAAUCGUGUUAUAGCCGAGUGGCUGAUAUACUUAGUAAGUGGCAAACCACCAAAUAUCAGAGGUAUUUAUAUUAUCUAUAUUAAUAAAUGGUUUGCACCCACCAGAGCUAAAAAUAUUUGUAAAAGAAGCUCAACCAGUUACGGUAUUUGCAUCCCUUGAUAGAGCCAAGGUUUGGAAGGAAUGCCAUUAUGAUCAGUUUUUAACUACGAGUGCCACAAUGAUACCAGUUCAAAGCAAUUAUCAAUAUCCAGCUUUGAACAGAUCAGUGGGUAGUUAUCCACAGAUGAUCAAAACAGUGGCCCAUUCAAGUGCCAAUACUCAUAGAGCAGUUAAUGUUACCCCAUUGCAAGCUUUACCACCACAAGUCACAACAGCAUAUGCUCCAUAUUUUCCAUAUCAAACACAAGAGUCAACUUUGGCAGAAAAACAAAUAAUACCAGCUUCAAAAGAUUCUAAUGAAGCCUUGUUAUUGAACUUGACGAAGAAAAUGGAGGAAAUGGUCGUUAAUAUGGCCAAAGGUAAGGAGAAGAGGCAAAAGCCAACCAAUACUAGGACCAAUGUAUGGUGCAGUAAUUGUCAGGGCCAUUGUCAUUUGGUAACAGAAUACCCAUCACCUUCACAAGUGUUGGAUAAAUGUACAUUUUGUGGAAGCAAGCACUUAACCGCUAAUUGUUGGAAUUUGCAAAGACAACAACAAUUCAAUAAUUUGACCAUGAUUCCACCAACUCCAUGGGAUGUCAAUCAAGUUCAAACAGGACAUACGUUUGGAUGGCAUGGAAAUCGAUCUAACCGACAAAAUCGAGUAGUCAAUUAUUUUCAGAAUUCCACUUAUAAUCAGGGGUUUGCAUCAAAUCCUCAGAACUAUGGUAAGGAGCAGCAUGGAUAUCAGCCAUAUGCUCCAUCGAUGCCAUUGAACUAAGUACAACCAGGACAAUCGGGAUCAUUUUCUCAACCUACAUGGAACAAACCUAGUAGGUAUAUACCGAUGGAGACACCCAAUAUGCCUGAUGGGGGUGCAAAAAGGCCAUUGUGUUGUUUCCGUUGUAGAUAGAUUGGUCAUUAUGCCAAUGAAUGUCCCAAUCCAAGAACUAGUGACGAUUAUAUGCCAGUUUGUGGGAAUUGCAAGCAGUCAGGGCAUACGUAUCAGCAAUGCAAUGCUCCAUUCAAUUUCAAUAAUCGGGAUCAGCAGAUCCAGAGUCUAGGAAAAAUGGAGGGGAUAAAUCGAGGUCCUCAAGACUCUCCAAUAAAUCGGGUGGAAUGUGUCCAUACCGUUCUUACUAGGAGUCAGCAAAAAGGAAAGGACCAAUCACACCCAAUUCCGGAUCCAUCCCAUUCAGGUCCUGACAUUGGAAAAGUCUUGAGCCCUGAUUUGGUUGCGAAGUCCAAUAAGGUCUCAAUUACGGAGUCUUCAGUUCUGUCUCGAACCGGUCUAUUCCCACCGCAGUUCCAAAAAGCAUCAUACCCCUUGAAAGAUCCCAUUGGGAAAGGUAGUCCCAAGGAAGCUCAAGCUGCUGUUCCAAUUCCAAGUCCAGGGCGGCAGAAUAAUUUACCUCACCGAGUUAAACUCAAACCCAUGAAACGGAAGAGGGCAUUGAGAAUUAUCCUAAAUAUGGAACCCUACGACAUUUUAAAAGAUUUGGACGCUAUUCGGCCUUCAAUUUCUAUGAAGCAACUUCUAACAGUUGCACUAGAGUAUCGUUUCACCUUGAAUUCAUCCCUAACAAGACAUCGGCAUCGUAAUAUGGAAGUUUGUGAAGUUAGUUUGAACCCUGAUCUAGGUGCACCAACCAUUGAUGUUUCGAUUGAUGGUGUUCUGAUCUCUGGCGUCCAGGUAGAUGGAGGUUCCAGCGUCAAUUUAAUGAACGUUGAUAGAAUGGAUGCUUUAGAUCUGGAACAAUUAGUCUUCACGACAUUGGUAUUACGGAUGGCAGAUCAUAGCCGAGUUAAGCCAAUGGGUAUUUUACGGAGUGUUCAAACUAUAAUUGUAGGUAUUACAUAUGAAAUUGACUACAUUAUCUUUCGCUUACAACGUUUGACUUUAUCGUACCCUAUUUUAUUGAGACGACCUUGGCUGUAUCAAGCAAAGGCCAAGAACGAUUGGGAUUGGGGUACUUUGAUAAUUGGUAAGGGCGUAGAUAAAAUGGUGUUACAAAUGUACCCAGUACGCUAUCACGGGGAGUCUCAAUUGCCAGUAUCUGAAUUGACGGUGGACGAAGAGCUUAGCUCCGAGGAUGACAUAGAAGUACCGAGUACAGAGGCCAAUGUGGAGGCAGCACAGCACCCUGAGGUGGUGUACGAAUGUGGAGGUCCGGGGGAGUACUUGAUAUAUCCGAAGGAUUCAGAAAACUCUGCUUAUGUUAGUAUUGACUGGAAACCUUGAUACGAUGUGCACCAUGUUAGUGCCCUCGAGACGGGAUUCAUUACUUCGCAUAUGUCGGACAUACCGAAUAACUUUAAAUCACUACGAGAAUUGAAACAGAGUAUUGUUGCUGAACCUGUAUGUCAAACUAUUAACUUAGCAACCAUGACCGAACCUCGGCUAAUUAAGAUCUACGAAGGUAUUAAGGAACAAGAAUUGACCUAUUGGACAGACUUUUUCUUACAUCAUAAAUCCGCUUUUGCUUGGACUUAUGAUGAUCUACGAGGUAUCCUCGCUGAUGUCUGUGAACAUCGUAUCAUAUUGGAAGAAAAUGCUAAAUCGGUAUGCCAGAGGCAACAUUGCCUUAAUCCUAAAUAUUCCCUUAUGAUGAAGGAAGAAUUGGACAAGCUUCUUUUGGUGGGUUUCAUUUACCCAGUACCGAAUAGUGAGUGGAUUUCUCCAAUUGUGAUGGUGUCAAAAAAGAACGGAAAAAUCCGAAUUUGUCAAGAUUUUCAGAAACUUAAUGCAGCCACUAAGAAAGAUUACUUUCCGUUACCAUUCACGGAUAGUAUAUUGGACGCUGUCGCCGAUCACGAAUGCUAUUUGUUUCUCGAUGGUUUCUCCGGGUAUAAUCAAGUUUAAAUUGCGAAAGAAGACCAGCUCCAGACAACCUUUACUACGGAUUGAGGCACAUUUGCUUAUCGCAUGAUGUCUUUCGGGUUAUGUAACGCCCCAGCCACGUUCCAACGCGUGAUGACUCAGGCUUUUCAAGACUAUCUCUGGAUAUUUAUGGAGAUCUUUUUAGAUGAUUUUUGUACAUUCAGUACCAAACAAGAUCAUCUUCAUUGUUUAGGCAAAUGUUUGGCUCAGUGUGCCAAAUUUGGGAUAUCGUUGAAUUCGGAGAAGUGCCAAUUUGGUGUUCCGUCCGAAAAAUUAUUGGGCCAUAUUGUUUCCAAUCGUGGUAUUGCUACGGAUCCUGACAAAGUACAGCAUAUCAUGAACUUGCCCAGAUCGGAGACAGUCUCUGGCGUUCGAGGGUUCGUUGGUCAUGUCAGUUAUUAUCGACGAUUUAUAAGUUCGUUUGCGGUUAUUUGUCAACCUUUAACGAACUUAUUGAAGAAACCUCCGUCCAAUGGUACUAGUUUCCUCUGGACCAAGGAGUGUACCAUAGCCUUCGAGGUCUUAAAGUCAAAAUUGGUCUCUGCACCAAUAUUCGUGGCUCCUUGUUAGACAAAGCCAUUUCAUGUGUAUGUUGAUGCAUCCAAUGCUGCUAUUGGCUCAGUGUUAAGCCAGAAGAAUGAUAAGGGAUUAGAUCAUCCCAUAUAUUAUGCCAGUCGACAAUUGGUGGCUGCCGAACGCAACUAUACUACUACUGAACGAGAGGCGUUGGGUAUGAUAUAUUCGGUUGAUGAAAUUAGAGGAAUUGGAUGAAAUAUGGAUUCUCACUCUAUUCCACAUGGAAGCCACUCAAAAACGGAGGAAGAGUUACUAUGAUAGUAAACUGCGGCCGAAGUGUUUUAUGCCCAAUGAUUUGGUAUUGCUAUAUAACAGCCGAUUCAAUCAUUUUCUUGGAAAAUUUCAAGUUCGAUGGCAUGAACCAUAUCGCGUAAUUGAAGGAUUUUCCAAUGGGUCUGUUCAAUUGGAGGAUUUUACGGGCCAUCGUUUCAGUACCUGCAUUAAUGGGAAUCGUUUACGGUUAUAUAAUACCUAAAACCUGGGAUGGGUUUUCUUUCAUUUGAGGGGAGGGGACUUUGAAUGGACUCAAGAGGGACCUAAUUAUGGUAUAAGGCAUAGAGGUGGCUGCAAGGAUAUUUAAUUAUCACUAUUGUGUCAGAUGCAAAGGAAGUGAGAAAUGGACAGUAUGGGUACCAUGUUGUCGUUCUCAUCACUAGGUAAUAGAAUAAGAGUGGGGCUUCUAUUAAGGGUUAUUCUAUGGUGUUAUAUUCUAUUAUUGCUUAUUUGUGUUUCAUUUUAGUGUUUCGGGCAUACUGGAGAGUCGCAUUGACGGUUAGGACUUGUAAGCGUUUGAGUUAUGGCGAUUGAAAGUACCAAGAGAGCUGUAGACAGAGAUUAAAGUGGCCGAAAUGUGAGAGCUAAAUGCACAGCAAAACCACCCGCUGUGAUAAUCGUUACCAAUAUGGAGCCGAUGAAGUUAGAAAUCUGUUGGAUAUAGAGAAAAAUAAGGGAUUUUUGGAUUUCAAAGCUGUUCCAGUUUUUGCACCAUUCAAAGUAUUUAUCAUCAAUCAAUGUGUCAUUAGUAGAGGAAUACAUUAAGAAUUACGACCCCGAGGAUGGAUCGAGUGUCGUUCAAGGAUGAAUUAUUGGGAUUGAUGAAACAAUCUUAGAAAAGAUAUUAUUUCUUUCCAUUGGAGAGAUGGCAGUAGGGACUGAUGAGUCAAGCAAUUUCAGCCCAGGUAGAUAUUUCAAGGGAGGAAUGUCAUCCUUUAAAAGGAGCCAAGGAUGGCGGACUCAGGAGGCGAUUACACCAGAAUAUGUGGAAUGGUUGCGGUUCGUGCUGAGGCGGUUAGGAUUGUACCGACACCCCACAUAUGUAUCAAAACAAUUAUUGUAUGCAGGAGUAGGGGCGUUUGAAGGGAUGGUGUUCAACUGGGUAGCUUACGUAGCUACUCAUAUUCAUGCGGAGAUAAGAGCCAAGUUCAAAUUGGGGAAGUUCACAUCCUUGCUUUGUUCAAAUUAUGUGUAUGUUGUCAUCGCGUACACAUUGCGUCAACCACCAUCAAAAGAGGAAAAUCCUAUACCAGUGUCAGCACCUUUGCAGAGAGAACAAAAUUUGUUGGCACAGAAUCACAAUGCAGCGGAUGUAAUACACAAAAUUAGAGAAUCAAGUCGUACAGUGGUUCAAGAGGUAGCUCCGGUUAUCGAAGGAAGAUGGAUUCCAAGUGGUGUUGCGGUGGAAGAGGAAAAUCAAGUCCCAUUAUUGAUAGAUAUCAACCAAUUGGCAUUUCCAGAAGGUCGAUUACCUGAAGGAGUAUCUCUUAAAAAUAUCGUAUUGAAGCACAUUUUACAAAUACAUUGUAUGGUACGAGCAUUGGAUGUAAAAGACAGAAUUAAACGGGAUUGGGAGGACAGUAAAAAAAGGAUAUCGGAUCAAAAUCAAAAAAUUAGGAAGCAAGAACUGAGGAUUCAAGAAAUUGAAGAAGCCAAGUUGGUCUUGGAGCGGAAAUUGGUUCUCCAAUAUGAGGCUUGGACAAAGAAAAAAGAAUAGAUUUCACGGAUUGUGGAAGGACAACUGGACGAAUUGAUUCAGAAUAGGAAGUCAUGGGAUUUGGAACGGGAGAAGUUCAAAUGUCAGUUGCAAGCGGAAGUAGACAAGACAGAGUUAUUGGCGAUAGAGAAAGCGUUAUUGUGUGACCAAUUGAGAUGUGAAACGGGGAAAAUGAGGUCUGAAAUUGAAGUUUUAUAAAAUGAAGUAUCAAAACUGACGGAAGAAUUAACUGUGAGGAGUCAAUCUCAAGUGUCGAUUGAAGAUGUCCCAGAAGGAAUGAGUCCGCAGCAUCAUCAGUUGGAACUUCGCGAUGCCAAGAUCCUGAAACUGGAAGCUCAGGUCCGUGAAUUGGGAGAAUACAAUGAAGAUCUUUCAGCCCAGUUGAGAAAGGAGUCGCUUGAAAUAUUGGAAGAGGAUGAAGACGUACUACUAGAGCCAGAAUCGGUGGAACCAAUAAUGGAUAAUGUAGUAAUUGAUCAAUUGGGUGUAUCAGAUAAAUAGAAAUUUUGGAGAAGUUUUUUUUUAAUUAUGUAUCGGUUCUAUGUUUGCGAGGACGCUGCACAAAUGGAAGUGGGGCUAUAUAGAAUAAGUAGUUAUUUGCUGCUUUGUAGAUACUUAGUUUAUAGUAUAAACAGGGAUAGAUGACUGUUGAAAAGAUAGUUUAGUAGGUAAAAUGGAUGAAUAGUUAGGAAAAGCAGUUUUCAUUAGAGAUGUAGCAGUUGGUAUUUCGUGGUAGCAUAAGGAGGAUGGAAGAGAGGAAGUAAGGGCGAGAUUGUGAUAGUGUGAGCCGGGGUAAGCUUGGUGCUAUCUCUUUUCUUUUGUUUGUUAUUUUCUUUGAAUAAGAAGAUUAAGAGUUUCUGAAUAUUGUGAAAGUGAAUUAUGGAAUGGAAGUAUGAUUGUUAUUAAAUGGGAAGAAGAAAGAUUGAAUGCUGAAAUCUGAUUGUAGUUCAGCAGAGAGAAUGAGUCUGUGUUUGUGUGAAACACUGUAAUGUGAAGGCAAUUAAUAGUGAAGAACUCCAGAGUUUGGAUUAUAGUAUGAUUAUAUCAUGUCAUUUAGGAUAGUGUGGUGUGAUUGUCGUUUUACUUACUCUAACUUAUCUAAUCAGAGUAAACCUGUAUAGGGGAAUUCGAACACAGGGAAAGAAUACCGCAUGAGCUUACACGUUAGGGUCACACAAUUAACUGUAUUCCGCACUACUUAAAACAUCCAGGAAACACUACAAUGCUUUCCACUUCCUAAUAAUACUCCACCAUCACUGAUAACCAACAACAUGUAAUCCCGCACUAUCCUAAAUGACAGGACAUAAUCAUACUAUAAUCCAAAUUCUGGAGUUCUUCACCAUUAACUGCCUUCACAUUACAGUGUUUCACACAAACACAGACUCAUUCUCUCUGCUGAACUACAUUCAGAUUUCAGCAUUCAAUCUCUCUUCUUCUCAUUCAAUAACAUAUAAUUCCAUUCACACUUUCAUUCCAUGAUUCACUUCACAAUAUUCAGAAACUCUCAAUACUCUUAUUUCAAAGAACAUAACAACAAAAGAAAAGAGGUAGCACCAAGCUUACCCCGGCUCACACUAUCACAGUAAUGGCCCCUACUUCCUCUCUCUCAUCCUCCUUAUGCUACCACGAGAUACCAACUGCUACAUCUCUAAUGAAAACUGCUUUUCCUAACUAUUCAUCCAUUUUACCUACUGAACUACCUUUUCAACAGUCAUCUAUCCCUGUUUACACUAUGAACUAAGUAUCUACAAUUCAACAAAUAACUACUUAUUCUACAUAGCCCCACUCCCAUCUGUGCAGCGUCCUCGCAAACAUAGAACCGAUACAUAACUAAAAAAAAAAAAAAAAACUUCUCCAAAAUUUCUAUUUAUUUGAUAUAUCCAAUUGAUCAAUUACUACAUUAUCCAUUAUUGGUUCCACCGAUUCUGGCUCUAGUGGUACGUCUUCAUCCUCUUCCAAUAUUUCAAGCGACUCCUUUCUCAACUGGGCUGAAAGAUCUUCAUUGUAUUCUCCCAAUUCACGGAUCUGAGCUUCCAGUUUCAGGAUCUGGGCAUCGCGAAGUUCCAACUGAUGUUACUGCGGACUCAUCCCUUCUGGGACAUCUUUAAUCGAUACUUGAGAUUGGCUCCUCACAGUUAACUCUUCCGUCAGUUUUGACACCUCAUUUUGUAAAACUUCAAUUUCAGACCUCAUUUUCCCCGUUUCACAUCUCAAUUGGUCACACAAUAACGCUUUCUCUGUCGCCAAUAACUCUGUCUUGUCCACUUCCGCUUGCAACUGACAUUUGAACUUCUCCCGUUCCAAAUCCCAUGACUUCCUAUUCUGAAUCAAUUCGUCCCGUUGUCCUUCCACAAUCCGUGAAAUCUGUUCUUUUUCCUUUGUCCAAGCCUCAUAUUGAAGAACCAAUUUCCGCUCCAGGACCAACUUGACUUCUUCAAUUUCUUGAAUCCUCAGUUCUUGCUCCCUGAUUUUUUUAUUUUGAUCCGAUAUCCUUUUUUUACUGUCCUCCCAAUCCCGUUUACUUCUGUCUUCGACAUCCAAUGCUCGUACCAUACAAUGUAUUUGCGAAAUGUGCUUCAAUACGGCAUUUUUAAGAGAUACUCCUUCAGGGAAUCGACCCUCUGGAAACGCCAACUGGUUGAUAUCUAUCAAUAAUGGGACUUGAUUCUCCUCUUCCACCGCAAGACCACUUGGAACCCGUCUCGCUUCGAUAACCGGAGCUACCCCUUGAACCACUGUACGACUUGAUUCUCCAAUUUCGUGUAUUACAUCCCCUACAUUGUGAUUCUGUGCCAACAAAUUUCGUUCUCUCUGCAAAGGUGCUGACACUGGUAUAAGGUUUUCCUCUUCUGACGGUGGUUGACGCAAUGUGUGCGCGAUGACAGCAUACACAUAAUUUGAACAAAGCAAGGAUGUGAACUUCCCCAAUUUGAACUUGGCUCCUAUCUCCGCAUGAAUACGAGUAGCUACGUAAGCCGCCCAGUUGAACACCAUCCCCUCAAACGCCCCUACUGCUGCAUACAAUAAUCGUUUUGACACAUAUGUGGGGUGUCGGUACAAUCCUAACCGCCUCAGCACGAACCGCAACCAUUCCACAUAUUCUGGUGUAAUCGCCUCCUGAGUCCGCCAUCCUUGGCUCCUUUCAAAGGAUGACAUUCCUCCCUUGAAAUAUCUACCUGGGCUGAAAUCGCCUGACUCAUCAGUCCCAACUGCCAUCUCUCCAAUGGGAAGAAACAACACCUUUUCCAGGAUUGUUUCAUCAAUCCCAAUAAUUCGCCCUUGAACGACACUCGAUCCAUCCUCGGGGUCGUAAUUCUCAAUGUAUUCCUCCACUAAUGACACAUUGAUUGAUGGUAAACGCUCUGAAUGGUGCAAAAACUGGAACAGCUUCGCAGUCCGAAAAUCCCUUAUUUUUCUCUACGUCCAACAGAUUUCUAACUUCAUCGGCUCCAUAUUGGUAACGAUUAUCACAGCCGGUGGUUUUGCUGUGCGUUUAGCUCUCACAUUCCGGCCACUUUCAUCUCUGUCUACAGCUCUCUUGGUACUUUCAAUCGCCAUGACUCAAACGCUUACAGGUCCUAACCGUCAAUGCCACUCUCCAGUCUGCCCGAAACACUAAAAUGAGACACAAAUAAGCAACAACAUAAUAUAACACCACAGAAUAACCCUUAGUAGGAGCCCCACUCCUAUUCUAUUACCUAGUGAUGAGAGCGACAACAUGGUACCCAUACUGUCCAUUUCUCACUUCCUUCGCAUCUGACACAAUAGUGAUUACUACAUAUCAUUGCAGCCGCCUCUACGUCUUAUACCAUAAUUAGGUCCCUCCUGAGUCCAUUCGAAGUCCCCUCCCCUCAAAUGAAAUAAAACCCGUCCCGAGUUUUAGGUAUUAUAUAACCGUAAACGAUUUCCAUUAAUGCGGGUACUGAAACGAUGGCCCGUGAAAUCCUCCAAUUGAACAGACCCAUUGGAAAAUCCUUCAAUUACGCGAUAUGGCCCAUGCCAGCGAACUUGAAAUUUUCCCGGAAAAUGGUUGAAUCGGCUGUCAUACAGCAAUACCAAAUCAUUGGGCAUAAAACACUUCGGCCGCAGUUUACUAUCAUAGUAACUCUUCCUCCGUUUUUGAGUGGCUUCCAUGAGGAAUAGAGCGACAGCCCGUAUUUCAUCCAAUUCCUCCAAUUUCAUCAACCGAGAGUGUAAUGACUCAGUGUCACUGAGGCGUUCGUCUAAGGCAAUUCGUAAACUGGGAACCUCCAAUUCGAUAGGUAAAAUUGCCUCUUGACUGUAAACUAAUUGGAACGGAGUAGAGUGGGUAGUUACCUUAUAGGCGGUACGAUAAGCCCACAAAGCUGCAAAGAGUUUGGUCUCCCAAUCAGUACCGGCCCUUGAAAUUGUCUUAGUCAAGACUUUGCACAAAAUGCCGUUGGUCUUUUCCGUUUGCCCAUUGGCACGAGGAUGGUAGGGAGUGGUCUUACGAUGCUUGAUCUCAUAUGUGGUCGUCAAGGCGGCGAUGGUAGCAUUGAUGAAAUGGGUGCCUCGAUCGCUGACCAAUUCCUUGGGACACCCAAAGCGAGUGAUAAUAUUCUCAUACAGAAAAGUUGCCACCGUACUGGCAUUAUCGGUGCGGGUAGCAAUCGCCUCUGCCCAUUUGGUGACAUAAUCGGUGGCGACUAAGAUAUACCGCUUUUGACCAGGUUUUGACGCUGGUGCAAUGGGACCAACAAAAUCAAUACCCCAUUUUUCAAAUGGAACCUGGGCCAAGAUUGGGACUAACGGCAUGGCGGAAGUACCCGUAGGUCGACCAAUUCGUUGACAAGGAUCACAACGGCGAACGAACUGGUGGGCAUCAGAAAACAUUGUGGGCCACCAAUAUCCGGCCAUUAAAGCCUUGCGGGCAGUGCUGUCUCCCGCGAAAUGACCACCACAACUAUCCAAAUGACAACCUGUAAGUAUCGACUGUACUUCACUGGGAAAGAUACAGCGCCGUAAAAGACCAUCGCGUCCUUGUUUAUACAAAGCAUCACGAAUCAUCGUGUAUGGGGCACUCUUCAGAAUAAGGCGCUUCUUAAGCUUGUCCGUGAAAGUCGGCGAAAAAGUAUGGAAGGUCAAAAACUGAAUAAUUUCGCUAUACUCGGGGGAUAUCACAUCCACCACAAAUAAUGCGGCGUCGGGAAGAUCAUCGGGAAUAGGCUCGUUGCCGAGAAUAUUAGACAACUGGGAUAAAUGAUCUGCGUUCGCAUGUUGCUUCCCAGGUCUGACAACCACCGUAAAAUUGAACUCCUGGAGGAGUAAGACCCAGCGAGCAAUGCGCCCACUCAAUUGAGGCUUAUUAAUCAGAUAUUUGAGGGCAUCAUGAUCCACAUAAAAUACAAACGGAUACCCAAGCAAAUAGUGCCAAAAUUUUUUAACCGAGUAUAUCAUACCCAACGCCUCUCGUUCAGUAGUAGUAUAGUUGCGUUCGGCAGCCACCAAUUGUCGACUGGCAUAAUAUAUUGGAUGAUCGAAUCCCUUAUCAUCUUUCUGGCUUAACACCGAGCCAAUAGCAGCAUUGGAUGCAUCAACAUACACAUGAAAUGGCUUUGUCCAACAAGGAGCCACCAAUAUUGGUGCAGAGACCAAUUUUGACUUUAAGACCUCGAAGGCUACGGUACACUCCUUGGUCCAGAGGGGACUAGUAUCAUCGGACGGAGGUUUCUUCAGUAAGUUCGUUAAAGGUUGACAAAUAACCGCAAACGAACUUAUAAAUCGUCCAUAAUAACUGACAUGACCAACGAACCCUCGAACACCGGAGACUGUCUCCGGUCUGGGCAAGUUCAUGAUAUGCUGCACUUUGUCAGGAUCUGUAGCAAUACCACGACUGGAAACAAUAUGGCCCAAUAAUUUUCCGGACGGAACACCAAAUUGGCACUUCUCCGAAUUCAACGAUAUUCCAAAUUUGGCACACUGAGCCAAACAUUUGCCUAAACAAUGAAGAUGAUCUUGUUUGGUACUGAAUGUACAAAAGUCAUCUAAAAAGAUCUCCAUAAACAGUCGGAGAUAAUCUUGAAAAGCCUGAGUCAUCACGCGUUGGAACGUGGCUGGGACGUUACAUAACCCGAAAGGCAUCACGCGAUAAGCAAAUGUGCCCCAAUCCGUAGUAAAGGUUGUCUUGAGCUGGUCUUCUUUUGCAAUUUGAACUUGAUUAUACCCGGAGAAACCAUCGAGAAACGAAUAGCAUUCGUGACCGGCGACGGCGUCCAAUAUACUAUCCGUGAAUGGUAACGGAAAGUAAUCUUUCUUGGUGGCUGCAUUAAGUUUUCGGAAAUCUUGACAAAUUCGGAUUUUUCCGUUCUUUUUCGGCACCAUCACAAUUGGAGAAACCCACUCACUAUUCGGUACCGGGUAAAUGAAACCCACCGCAAGAAGCUUGUCCAAUUCUUCCUUCACCAUAAGGGAAUAUUUAGGAUUAAGGUGAUGUUGCCUCUGGCGUACCGGUUUAGCGUUUUCUUCCAAUAUGAUACGAUGUUCACAGACAUCAGCGGGGAUACCUUGUAGAUCAUUAUAAGUCCAAGCAAAAGCGGAUUUAUGAUGUAAGAAAAAGUCUGUCCAACAGGUCAACUCUUGUUCCUUAAUACCUUCGUAGACCUUAAUUAGCCGAGGUUCGGCCGUGGUCGCUAAGUUAAUAGUUUGACAUACAGGGUCAGCAACAAUACUCUGUUUCAAUUCCCGCAGUGAUGUAAAGUUACUCGGUAUGUCCGACAUAUGCGAAGUAACGAAUCCCGUCUCGAGGGCACUAACAUGGUGCACAUCGUACCCAGGUUUCCAGUCAAUACUUACAUAAGCAGAGUUUUCCGAAUCCUUCGGGUAUAUCAAGUACUCCCCCGGACCUCCACAUUGGUACACCACCUCAGGGUGCUGUGCUGCCUCCACAUUGGCCUCCGUACUCGGUACUUCUGUGUCAUCAUCGGAGCUAAGCCCUUCGUCCGACGUCAAUUCAGAUACUGGCAACUGAGACUCCCCGUGAUAGCGUACUGGGUACAUUUGUAACACCAUUUUAUCUACGCCCUUACCAAUUGUCAAAGUACCUCGACCCCAAUCGUUUUUGGCCUUCGCUUGAUACAGCCAGGGUCGUCCCAAUAAAAUAGGGUACGAUAAAGUCGAACGUUGUAAGCGAAAGACAAUGUAGUCAAUUUCAUAGGCAAUACCUGCAAUUAUAGUUUGAACACUCCGUAAAAUACCCAUUGGCUUAACUCGGCUAUGAUCUGCCAUCCGUAAUACCAAUGUCGUGGGGACUAAUUGUUCCAGACCUAAAGCAUCCAUUGUAUCAGCGUUCAUUAAAUUGACGCUGGAACCUCCAUCUACCUGGACGCCAGAGAUCCGAACACCAUCAAUCGAAACAUCAAUGGUUGGUGCACCUGGAUCAGGGUUCAAACUAACUUCACAAACUUCCAUAUUACGAUGCCGAUGUCUUGUUAGGGAUGAAUUCAAGGUGGAACGACACUCUGGUGCGACUGCUAGAAGUUGCUUCAUAGAGAUUGAAGGCCGAAUAGCGUCCAAAUCCUUUAAAAUGUCAUAGGAUUCCAUAUUUAGGGUAAUUCUCAAUGCCCUCUUCCGUUUCAUGGGUUUGAGCUUAACUCCGUGAGGUAAUUUAUUCUGCCGCCCUGGACUUGGAAUUGGAACAGCAGAUUGAGCUUCCUUGGGACUUCCUUUCCCAAGGGGAUCUUUCAACGGGUAUGAUGCUUCUUGGAACUGCGGUGGGAACAGACCGGUUCGAGACGGAACUGAAGACUCCGUAAUUGGGACCUCAUUGGGCUUCGCAACCAAAUCAGGGCUCAAGACUUUCCCAGUUUCCGGGCCUGAAUGGGAUUGGUCCGUAAUUGGGUGUGAUUGGCCCUUCGCUUUAGGAUCUUCCAAAUGUUUAAUUGGGCCUUUUUCUUUUUGCUGGCUCCUAGUAAGAACGGUAUGGACACAUUCCACCCGAUUUACUGGAGAGUCUUGAGGUCCUCGAUUUAUUCCCUCCAUUUUUCCUGGACUCUGGAUCUGCUGAUCCCGAUUAUUGAAAUUGAAUGGAGCAUUACAUUGCUGAUACGUAUGCCCUGACUGCUUGCAAUUCCCACAAACUGGGGCAUAAUCGUCACUGGCUCUUGGAUUGGGACAUUCAUUGGCAUAAUGACCAAUCUGUCUACAACGGAAACAACGCAAUGGCCUUUUUGCACCCCCAUCAGGCAUAUUGGGUGUCUCCACCGGUAUAUACCUACUAGGUUUGUUCCAUGUAGGUUGAGAAAACGAUCCUGGUUGUCCCGGUUGUACUUGGUUCAAUGGCAUCGAUGGAGCAUAUGGCUGAUACCCAUGCUGCUCCUUACCAUAGUUCCGAGGAUUUGAUACAAACCCCUCACUAUAAGUGGAAUUCUGAAAAUGAUUGACUGCUCGAUUUUGUCGGUUAGAUCGAUUUCCAUGCCAUCCAAACGUAUUUCCUGUUUGAACUUGAUUGACAUCCCAUGGAGUUGGUGGAAUCAUGGUCGGAUUACUGAAUUGUUGUUGUCUUUGCAAAUUCCAACAAUUAGCGGUUAAGUGCUUGCCUCCACAAAAUGUACAUUUACCCAACACUUGUGAAGGUGACGGGCAUUCCGUUACCAAAUGACCGUGGCCCUCACAAUUACUGCACCAUACAUUGGUCCUAGUAUUGGUUGGCUUUUGCCUCUUCUCCUUAUCUUUGGCCAUAUUAACGGCCAUUUCCUCCAUUUUCUUCGUCAAGUUCAAUAACAAGGCUUCAUUGGAAUCUAUUGAAGCUGAUAUUAUUUGUUUUUCCGCCAAAGUUGACUCGUGUGUUUGAUAUGGAAAAUAUGGGGCAUAGGCUGUUGUUACUUGCGGUGGUAAAGCUUGCAAUGGGGUAACAUUAACUGGCCCCUGAGUAUUGGCACUUGACUGGGCAACUGUUCGAUCAUCUGUGGAUAACUACCCACUGAUCCGUUCAAAGCCGGAUAUUGAUAAUUGCUUUGAACUGGUAUCAUCGUGGCACACGCAGUUAAAAACUGAUCAUAAUGGCAUUCCUUCCAAACCUUGGCUCUAUCAAGGGAUGCAGAUAUCGUAACUGGUUGAGCUUCUUUUACAAACAUUUUUAGCUCUGGUGGGUGCAAACCAUUUAUUAAUAUAGAUAAUAUAAAUACCUCCGGCAUUUGGUGGUUCGGCCACUUACUAAGUAUAUCAGCCACUCGGCCAUAGAACGAUUCCACCGCCUCUCCUAGGAUCAUUUUGCUAUUCAUUAACCUUCCUCGAAGACGGUCUUCAAAACCAAUUGGUCGAAAACGGGUCAAAAAUGCAUUCUUCAAUGCUUCCCAGUUCGAAAAUUGACCAACUGGUUGACGGUUAUACCAUUCAAACGCCGUAUCCUUUAAGGUUGCUGGCAACCAUCGUAACCAAAUAUCCUCGGUUCUCCCAUUAUUGGCGACACAUGCUGUCAAAAACUGCGACAAAUGUUGAUCUGGAUCCGCACCCGGAAAACCCCUAAAGGUAGGUAAUGGAGCCACGCUAGUUGUGCGAUCACUCACAAUACCCAUUUGUACUGCUAUGGGAACCGCUGGACCUCCCGUCGUCAUUGAAUUUGACAAUGUGACACUUAAUCGUUUGUUAAUAUAGUCUGCGUCUCUCCUAAAUAUAUUUUCCGAACUUUCCACCCUGCUCAAUUUGCUAUUAUUAUCCUUGAACAAGUUUAUUGGUUGAAUAGGAGGUGAGAAUGACGGAUUUUGAAACACACUGAAUUGGCCCUUAUUGACCAAUAAUUUAUGCCACUCUAUGGAACCAUUUUUGACGGAAUCGGCAGUUUCCGCUAUUGGAAACGUACCCAAUGGAGUACCCAACUCUU
rnacentral:lncRNA from 1 species